CAUCGAUCUAGUUACCUCCAACGGUGGUUGAGACCAUCACCACCGAGGUUCCUAGUCAUCAGUGAGGUAUGACACAAGGUAACUCGACAAAACACUGGAGGCCGGCGUUGGCAGCGAUUACGGAGGACGGUGUUGCUCGGAGAACUCCAUCUGAUUCUUAUGGUUUUGAUUACAGUUGGCAAACUCUGAAGAAUACAUUGAUGGGCAAUUUACUGGAAACCUUGGAGAGAUUUUAAUCAGGUAUACUUGGAUUGUCUGAAUAACUUUUAAAAACAGGACAAUUUGAGGCUGUCAAUGGAGAGGGGUUCAGCAAUAAGACGUCUGAGGCGCUUGUGGUCUUCACCGUUCUGCUGAAGCAAACUAUUGGGGCCCAACACCUUCUGACCGGUGUAGAACAGGUUCAAGCUAACCAUCCCAUCUUUUCCUGUUAAUAACAUCUUACUUGCUUCCAUACCGGUCGUAAACACCAUAUACCGUCCAAGAACAUAGCUCUUAAACACUUUUCCGUAUCUACGUUAAUUAAUUGCUAUAAGCAAGCAACAAAUUUAAUUGCAAUUGAUAUGAGAUUGAUUACCUUUGUUGCCUUUUAUUCAUGAAACUGAAAAUACCAGCAGGACUUGAAAAUUCAGAUAUAAAAGACAAACUCUCUCCUAAAAAUGGCCAACCAAAGCUACCUGGGAUGCCAUCCAUUUCCUUUGGGAAAGCACAUGCAUGAAGCAAGGCCAGUGUUAGAAUCAGCAGCAGCAGGACCAAUCCAACACCCAUCACUGUUGCCAUGCUCACCUCCAUUUUUUUAGUUCCAAGACAACUGUUUGUUGUUUCGGCAUUGCAUCUAUGCUUAUUGCUAUAAAUCUCAUCAUCUACACUGAGCGUCACUGUCCUAGAGGUAUGAUACAACCCAACUUCCUAAGAGGUGAAAAGGUACAAAAUGAGUAUUUGCCAUAUAUAAAUAUUAUAUAUUUAAAAAAAAUAUUAUGACAUCACAAACACCUGCCGUUUCCAUUUGUGAUGGAUGGAUGGAUUUUUCCUUUUAUUUCCUCGACUUCAGUUUAAUUGGGGUAUAAGUUUUCGAAACUUUCAUGGAUAUCUUGUAAAUCCCAAUAUACAUAUUACAUAUACCUCGGUUCUAACGUAUCCCUGUAACCAUGUUUAAGAGCAUCUCUUUUAUAUCUCCUCUCUGUUUCUUUCCGGUCUCUCUCGUUUUUUUUAUUUAAGAAGUUAUUUUAACAUAACUGCUUGAUCAAUUUCUUUUUAAAUCUCAUAAAGUUUUUAAAUCUCCAUGGCUUCUUUCCCUUGUAUUGGUUCAUGGCAUUGAGGUUGACAGUAGCCUCCUCCUCACUCUGACCACCUGACAAGAACAUAACAGCUGGGACAGCUGGUGGCAUGGUUCGUUGCAGGGCAUGGAAUGUGUACUCUGCCACUACUUCGGGUGCAACCUUCUUGGCAUCAGACCCAGGUUUAAUGAAAUGUACAGAGUGUAUAUUCAUGAAUGAAUACACACUAUAAAAUCAAUUCCUUGGUUCUUAAAUUAUUUGCGGUUCUCACAUGAACCCUCCCAUAUAUAUAUAUAUGUAUAUAUAUAUAUAUAUAGAUUCUAUGUGAGUGUCAUGAAGUCAGGAAGAUAUUCUAUUAUUCUUACUAGGCACAUAUUUACCACCUUUUUCCUUGGUUAUUGAUGAGAUCACAAUGUACACAUGGGAAGAGGUAUUAUGCAUAUGCUAUAUGGAGAAGGUAGUGUGUUAUAAUAGGUGAAUUGGUUCAUAUCUUGGGAAAUAUUUUCAUUCAGAGAAGCUACUGCCAGUGAGUGUGCCAACCAUCAACUAAAUCCAUGUUUACUUGCAUAGUCGUCACUAAGUUGCCAUUUACAGCAUGUCCGGCUUGUAAACCUCCAUCAUACACGUAAUAUCAUAUCUAGCAGAAGAACUACAUGCCUACCAAUCCUUUUCAAAUCGUGUAAUAGUUCUAUGCUCUUUGUACACAAAUAAUUUGUCUAGAAAUGGCAGGCAUGAUUUGAAGCAGUGAUUUUUCUGAAAUUACUAUACCUCAUGUGGGCCUAUUUGUUGGAGAGAAUUGAGCAGCAUCCAUAUCAAUGGAAGAUCUAGAGGCAGGAUGUUUUUUUUGUCAUGGCUAGGAUAGGGUAGUAGCAGUCAUAGUGCCUAUAUGUAACUCGACUUUCUUGCACUUAAAUUUGGAUCUAGAGGCAUGUGUUAUGUACUUGCAAGCGGCUUUUGGUGAUGAAUUUUGAUAAUUGGAAGAUCGGACCAUCAAAUUUAUUGUUAUGAUUUAUAAUGAAAAUCUUGAAUAUGUUGCAUUGGAAAAUGAUUCUUCUACUUGGAGACCGUAUACCAGUUU